rnacentral:rRNA from 1 species
UGGGGAAUAUUGGACAAUGGGCGAAAGCCUGACCCAGCAACGCCGCGUGAAGGAUGAAGUAUUUCGGUAUGUAAACUUCGAAAGAAUAGGAAGAAUAAAUGACGGUACUAUUUAUAAGGUCCGGCUAACUACGUGCCAGCAGCCGCGGUAAUACGUAGGGACCAAGCGUUGUUCGGAUUUACUGGGCGUAAAGGGCGCGUAGGCGGCAAUUCAAGUCAUCUGUGAAAUCUCCGGGCUUAACUCGGAACGGUCAGAUGAUACUGCUUUGCUAGAGUGCAGAAGGGGCAAUCGGAAUUCUUGGUGUAGCGGUGAAAUGCGUAGAUAUCAAGAGGAACACCUGAGGUGAAGACGGGUUGCUGGGCUGACACUGACGCUGAGGCGCGAAAGCC